rnacentral:rRNA from 1 species
AUUGAACGCUGGCGGCAGGCCUAACACAUGCAAGUCGAGCGGCAGCGGGACCUUCGGGUUGCCGGCGAGCGGCGGACGGGUGAGUAAUGCCUAGGAAUCUGCCUGUUAGUGGGGGAUAACGCGGGGAAACUCGCGCUAAUACCGCAUACGUCCUACGGGAGAAAGCGGGGGCUCUUCGGACCUCGCGCUAACAGAUGAGCCUAGGUCGGAUUAGCUAGUUGGUGGGGUAAUGGCCCACCAAGGCGACGAUCCGUAACUGGUCUGAGAGGAUGAUCAGUCACACUGGAACUGAGACACAGUCCAGACUCCUACGGGAGGCAGCAGUGGGGAAUAUUGGACAAUGGGCGAAAGCCUGAUCCAGCCAUGCCGCGUGUGUGAAGAAGGUCUUCGGAUUGUAAAGCACUUUAAGUCGGGAGGAAGGGCUGUAGGCUAAUACCUUGCAGUUUUGACGUUACCGACAGAAUAAGCACCGGCUAACUUCGUGCCAGCCGCCGCAGUAAAAC